rnacentral:lncRNA from 1 species
AAUAUAUAGAUGGGCCUCCCCUCAAAAAAAUUUAAUCAAUAUCGCAUGGGCCAUUCUAAAGUCUAAACUAUAAGAAAGAUGCUACAUUCGAAGUUCAAAGGCCGAGAAAGGUAUAAAUUUAUAAUUUUGUGCCACCUUCGUAAAAGAUAGGGCAAAAAUCUUAAAAGUGAAAAGAUAUACAAAGUAAUUAAACAGAGCGAAAGCCAAAAGUAGUACUACUAAUUAAAGUAUGGAACAAGGAAGUAAAUAAAAUAAUGGUAAAAAAAAAAAAUAGGGAAUAGAAGAAACAAG